rnacentral:rRNA from 1 species
AGUCAGAGGCGAUGAAGGGCGUGCUAAUCUGCGAUAAGCGCCGGUAAGGUGAUAUGAACCGUUAUAACCGGCGAUACCCGAAUGGGGAAACCCAGUGUGACUCGUCACACUAUCAUUAACUGAAUCCAUAGGUUAAUGAGGCGAACCGGGGGAACUGAAACAUCUAAGUACCCCGAGGAAAAGAAAUCAACCGAGAUUCCCCCAGUAGCGGCGAGCGAACGGGGAGGAGCCCAGAGCCUGAAUCAGCAUGUGUGUUAGUGGAAGCGUCUGGAAAGGCGCGCGAUACAGGGUGACAGCCCCGUACACAAAAGCGCAUGUGCUGUGAGCUCGAUGAGUAGGGCGGGACACGUGGUAUCCUGUCUGAAUAUGGGGGGACCAUCCUCCAAGGCUAAAUACUCCUGACUGACCGAUAGUGAACCAGUACCGUGAGGGAAAGGCGAAAAGAACCCCGGCGAGGGGAGUGAAAAAGAACCUGAAACCGUGUACGUACAAGCAGUGGGAGCACCCUUUGGGUGUGACUGCGUACCUUUUGUAUAAUGGGUCAGCGACUUAUAUUCUGUAGCAAGGUUAACCGAAUAGGGGAGC